UACUUGAUUGCUUUAUUUUAAAUUGUUUACUUUGAUUGUUUUUGACUCAAUUUGGGUUCCUCAAGAACAACAUAGCUGUUCGUAUGAUGAAAAACCGAUCUUAGCCCACUUGGGCGCCCUCUAUUUAAAUAGUUCAACUACUUGAGCGAAAUAGGUUAAAAUUAUGGAACUAUCAAAGACAGCCUGACCCGAUUCAAGUUCGGUUAUCGCUACUAUCGACGAUACUACGAGUGGUGCGCGCCAAAUAUUAAUUUUUGAGAGUGAAUGAGCGAAAAGGAUUUAAAUGCAGUCUAUUUGAAUAUAUGAUGUAUAUGAAUUUUUCCAAAUUGGUUAAAGAGGACAAGACUUUCUUGAACUGCGGCGCCUAAACCAAAAAUCAAAAACCAAAGGGCAUUUAGCUGGACUAGACACAAUCUCGGUGAAAAAACUUCUAUGAAAAUCCCAGCGCCAACUGUAAGAACAAGUCCGAAAGCGAAAAUAGAGUGCGGGAAUCGCUACUGAGAUCGUUUCAUUCGAUUCCGACAGUGAGAUUAUCAGCGUAUUUAUCCGACAGCCGCCCAACCAUUAAAAGGAGGCGCUCUGUUUUUGGUAAAAACACAACCUUAUAUAUGUGUAUAUUUAAUAAGCGUUAUGUUUUUCCUUUUAUUUGACUUAAGGCUAAUAUCAAAUAUGUUGAAAGGUUUUGCUAAAUAAAUACUGAAACGUGUAUACAAAAUGUAUAAAAGAAAAACGUGUGUUGUGUGUCUUAAAAAUAAGGGUAUUAUGUACAGUAUACAUAUUCUAUUGUAGGUAGGUCUUUAACUGAUCAUGUGUGCUGCUUUGCUUGGUAUACAACAAGUCAAAAGGUAUAGAAUUCAUAGUUUGUUCUUCGCCAGCGCGUUUAUACUGCGCGUAAUAUUCAUAUACUACGUUUAGAUAUUUUGUAGUCUUUCUUAAUUGGUAACAAUUUCUAGGUACAAAGGGGGUACAUAUUUUUAUGUAUUUAUUCCUUUUUUGCAGAGCUAUAGAGUUCUCAUAUGUAUUUACGCUCGAAAUGGGGGUUAGUUUAAGUAAAUGUUUCUUUCAUUUCAACGUUGUUUUAUAAACUUUCUCGUCAAUUCAUCAACAACA
rnacentral:sRNA from 15 species